GGGUAUUAGUGUUGAUAUAAUAUUGAUAGAGGCAAUUUCUGCAAGUGGAGUAUUGUGUUCUUGAGCCUGCACUGCGUCGAAUGCUCUUUCGAGGUUUGUGAUGGGAAUGUUUGUAGCCAGCGUCUGUCGUCGCUCAGCCCGAGUAGCAUUGCGUAUCCUUCUUUGGUUCCUUUGGUCGGAGGUUUCGUCUUGUGGGGCAUUAGCUGUUGACUCGUCUUCUGAGACGUUGUCGGGUUGUGCCAAUCUCCUAGGUGUUCUAUUCUGGCUAGUACCCGGGUUGUU
rnacentral:lncRNA from 1 species